GAUGAGGUUCAGGAUAUGCUACCCAAAAUAUGGCACCUUGGCAUAUUGAAUAUUUUAUGCUGAAGGAAUUUGAGAGAUAACAUAUACGGGAAGGUGUCUGAAUUUCCCUCCCCCUCUCCCCUGCAGCAGGUCAUAAAACCUAGAAAGAGUUUUCUAAACUUCCCCUGAAGCAGGUCAUAAGACUCUCAUGUGAGAGGCGCCCGCCCUAUACCCAGGUGAAAGGAGCAUCCUUUUCCCUGAAGACACAGAAGAAUCUGAACAAACAGGCCCUGCUAAGUUUCCCCCAGUUUAUUACCACUGAUCACAAUCUUUGCCCUAUCGUUUCUCCAUGACCGUCGACUCUUCAUCAAGCCUACUAUAAAAACACACUCAGGUUUAACAGUUCCUCAGGGUCUUCACUUUUUAUAAAGUUUCUUGUGUCACAUAAAACUUAUAUUAAGUAACUUUGUGUGCUUUUCUCUUGAUGAUCUGUCUUUUGUUAUAGGGAUCUCAGCCAGGAAUCUAGGAUGGUUAGAAAAAAAGAUAUUUCUCUCUAACAUACCUUUUAAUAUUAUUUCAGGAGGAACAUGAGAAGUACUUUUCAGAUGAGUUAUUCUUCUUGGUUCUAUAGGCCCAGGAUAUUGUGCAAAGAAGGAAGUGGUUUGAGAAGCUAUGGAAAGGAAAUAUUAAUCCAGACAUAGACCUAGGACUUGAAGCCAGGUGUGGCCAUGUGACUGAGCUCUACUCAGUGAGAACUGUUGUGGCACGUUCUGGACGAUGCCUCAGUGAGGCGAUGCGCAUCUUUUGCCUUUCCUUUGUCUCCUGGGAAGUGAUUUUGAGGAUAGAAGGUAUGCGCUGAGGAUGAUGGGACAGAAUCAUGAAGCCUCCAUCCAAGACUUCGCUCCUUCCUAUGGAUUUCUUUUAUGUGGGAGAAUAAAUAAUUGUGUGGUU
rnacentral:lncRNA from 10 species